AAGGCAAAUCAGUACGACCAGCUCCUGCUGAAUCCCCCAGGACCGGAAGGUAGCAAGGGUAAGCGGUUGUAGCGGUGCGAUACCUGGUUUGCCAUUUU
rnacentral:SRP_RNA from 1 species